rnacentral:rRNA from 1 species
UACGUAGGGUGCGAGCGUUAAUCGGAAUUACUGGGCGUAGAGCGUGCGCAGGUGGUUCGUCAAGUCUGAUGUGAAAGCCCCGGGCUCAACCUGGGAAUGGCAUUGGAAACUAGCGGGCUUGAGUGUGGCAGAGGGGGGUGGAAUUCCACGUGUAGCAGUGAAAUGCGUAGAGAUGUGGAGGAACACCGAUGGCGAAGGCAGCCCCCUGGGCUAACACUGACGCUCAUGCACGAAAGCGUGGGGAGCAAACAGG